ensembl:lncRNA
GCAGAGUUGGGCCUGGUUAGUACUUGGUUGGGAGACUGACUGGGAAUACUAGGAGUUGUAAGCUUUUUAUUUGGAUCAGUGUUUUCAUGACCUCUGCACAACAUCCUCUUUUGGGAUUAAGAUUGGAUACAGGUUUGAAGGGGACCCAAUCAAUCAGUCAGUCAGUCAGUCAGUCUUUUGAUUAUACUAUUUAAAUAGGCCCCAUUUAGGGUCAGCUUUCGCUUACGGCCAUACCACUCUGACGGCGGUAGUGAG